rnacentral:rRNA from 1 species
CAGUCGCCGCGGGAAUACGUAGGUGGCAAGCGUUGUCCGGAAUUAUUGGGCGUAAAGGGCUCGCAGGCGGUUUCUUAAGUCUGAUGUGAAAGCCCCCGGCUCAACCGGGGAGGGUCAUUGGAAACUGGGAAACUUGAGUGCAGAAGAGGAGAGUGGAAUUCCAUGUGUAGCGGUGAAAUGCGUAGAGAUGUGGAGGAACACCAGUGGCGAAGGCGACUCUCUGGUCUGUAACUGACGCUGAGGAGCGAAAGCGUGGGGAGCGAUCAGGAUUAGAUACCCCUGUAGUCCCUGUCUCUUAUAC